GACGAACGCUGGCGGCGUGCCUAAUACAUGCAAGUCGAACGCAGUGGGGACGGGUGAGUAACACGUGGGUAACCUCCCAUCAGAGGGGAUAAACGUUGGAAACAGGUGCUAAACCGAUACUGAAGGAGGGACACGCGGUGCAUUAGCUAGUUGGUGAGGUAACGGCCCACCAAGGCCACGAGGCAUAGCCGACCUGAUAGGGUGAUCGGCCACACUGGGACUGAGACACGGCCCAGACUCCUACGGGAGGCAGCAGUAGGGAAUCUUCGGCAAUGGACGAAAGUCUGACCGAGCAACGGCGCGUGAGUGAAGAAGGUUUUCGGAUCGUAAAACUCUGUCGGUAGGGAAGCGGUAUCUACCCAGAAAGCCACGGCUAACUACGUGCCAGCAGCCGCGGUAAUAC
rnacentral:rRNA from 1 species